GCAAGGUUAAAACUCAAAUGAAUUGACGGGGGCCCGCACAAGCGGUGGAGCAUGUGGUUUAAUUCGAUGCAACGCGAAGAACCUUACCUACUCUUGACAUCCAGAGAACUUAGCAGAGAUGCUUUGGUGCCUUCGGGAACUCUGAGACAGGUGCUGCAUGGCUGUCGUCAGCUCGUGUUGUGAAAUGUUGGGUUAAGUCCCGCAACGAGCGCAACCCUUAUCCUUUGUUGCCAGCGAUUCGGUCGGGAACUCAAAGGAGACUGCCGGUGAUAAACCGGAGGAAGGUGGGGAUGACGUCAAGUCAUCAUGGCCCUUACGAGUAGGGCUACACACGUGCUACAAUGGCGUAUACAAAGAGAAGCGACCUCGCGAGAGCAAGCGGAACUCAUAAAGUACGUCGUAGUCCGGAUUGGAGUCUGCAACUCGACUCCAUGAAGUCGGAAUCGCUAGUAAUCGUAGAUCAGAAUGCUACGGUGAAUACGUUCCCGGGCCUUGUACACACCGCCCGUCACACCAUGGGAGUGGGUUGCAAAAGAAGUAGGUAGCUUAACCUUCGGGAGGGCGCUUACCACUUUGUGAUUCAUGACUGGGGUGAAGUCGUA
rnacentral:rRNA from 1 species